rnacentral:rRNA from 1 species
GAUGAACGCUGGCGGCGUGCUUAACACAUGCAAGUCGAACGGAAAGGCCUCAGCUUGCUGGGGUACUCGAGUGGCGAACGGGUGAGUAACACGUGGGUGAUCUGCCCUGCACUUUGGGAUAAGCUUGGGAAGCUGGGUCUAAUACCGAAUAUGACCGCUUCUUGGAUGUUGUGGUGGAAAGCUUUUGCGGUGUGGGAUGAGCCUGCGGCCUAUCAGCUUGUUGGUGGGGUAAUGGCCUACCAAGGCGGCGACGGGUAUCCGGCCUGAGAGGGUGUACGGACACAUUGGGACUGAGAUACGGCCCAGACUCCUACGGGAGGCAGCAGUGGGGAAUAUUGCACAAUGGGCGCAAGCCUGAUGCAGCGACACCGCGUGGGGGAUGAAGGCCUUCGGGUUGUAAACUCCUUUCGCUAUCGACGAAGCCACUUGUGGUGACGGUAGGUAGAUAAGAAGCACCGGCUAACUACGUGCCAGCAGCCGCCGUAA